rnacentral:rRNA from 1 species
ACCCGACGAAUAAGCAUCGGCUAACUCCGUUGCCAGCAGCCGCGGUAAUACGGAGGAUGCGAGCGUUAUCCGGGAUUUAUUGGGUUUAAAGGGUGCGUAGGUUGUCUGGUAAGUCAGCGGUGAAAACUUGUCGCUUAACGAUAAGCUUGCCGUUGAAACUGUUAGACUUGAGAUUGGACGAGGUAUGCGGAAUUCGUAGUGUAGCGGUGAAAUGCAUAGAUAUUACGAAGAACCCCGAUAGCGUAGGCAGCAUACCAGGUCAAUUCUGACACUGAAGCACGAAAGUGUGGGAAUCAAACAGGAUUAGAUACCCUGGUAGUCCACACAGUAAACGAUGAAUACUGACUGUUUGCGAUAUAAUGUAAGCGGUUAAGCGAAAGCGUUAAGUAUUCCACCUGGGGAGUACGCCGGCAACGGUGAAACUCAAAGGAAUUGACGGGGGCCCGCACAAGCGGAGGAACAUGUGGUUUAAUUCGAUGAUACGCGAGGAACCUUACCCGGGCUCGAACGGCUUUUGAAUGAUUGUGAAAGCAGUCAGUCAGCAAUGACAAGAGUCGAGGUGCUGCAUGGUUGUCGUCAGCUCGUGCCGUGAGGUGUCGGCUUAAGUGCCAUAACGAGCGCAACCCUUAUUUCCAGUUACCAGCGGUUAAAGCCGGGGACUCUGGAAAGACUGCCACCGUAAGGUGCGAGGAAGGUGGGGAUGACGUCAAAUCAGCACGGCCCUUACGUCCGGGGCGACACACGUGUUACAAUGGGUGGGACAGCAGGCAGCUACUCGGCGACGAGAUGCGAAUCUACGAAACCCACUCCCAGUUCGGAUUGGAGUCUGCAACCCGACUUCAUGAAGCUGGAUUCGCUAGUAAUCGCGCAUCAGCCAUGGCGCGGUGAAUACGUUCCCGGGCCUUGUACACACCGCCCGUCAAGCCAUGGGAGCUGGGGGUGCCUGAAGUACGUAACCGCAAGGGACGUCCUAAGGUAAAACCGGUGACUGGGGCU